UACGGGGGGGGCAAGCGUUGUUCGGAAUUACUGGGCGUAAAGGGCGUGUAGGCGGCCAACUAAGUCCGACGUGAAAUCCCCAGGCUUAACCUGGGAACUGCGUCGGAUACUGGAUGGCUUGAAUCCGGGAGAGGGAUGCGGAAUUCCAGGUGUAGCGGUGAAAUGCGUAGAUAUCUGGAGGAACACCGGUGGCGAAGGCGGCAUCCUGGACCGGCAUUGACGCUGAGGCGCGAAAGCCAGGGGAGCAAACGGG
rnacentral:rRNA from 1 species